GCGAGCAGCAUCCCCACUCCGUGGCCCCGCCCCCCCCCUGGGGGUCCGACCUCUUCGAUAACCCUCCUGCUUUAUCCUUUUCGGGUUAUGAUUAAGAGUCGAGGAGACGGGUAGGACCGAGCAGGGAGGUGCUGAGGGGAGGGGAAGAAGGCCAACGGAGAAGAGAGGUGGAAAGAGAAGGAAGGCGAAGGGAAAGGGAGGUGUGUGGACGGCACCCAUUUACGUCUGUGUCCAUGUGGCCGCCGGCGUUGUUCCUUUGUUUCUCUCUCGAUCCCUGUCGCUUUUCUCACCGACUCCAUAGACACAUGCACCUCAUGUGACAUUGAAGGCACACAAGAAACAGGCAGACAUGGGGGUGGAGGGACGGAGGGGACAACGUACGGCUGUGCGACCCAACGUAUGACACAGAAGCAGAAGCACAGAGCCUGUGUACAUGUCGUGCACCCGGCCUCUCUGUCCAAGGCAUCUUUCACCCUAAAUCAAAACGAAGGCGGCCGCCACGCAUUCGCGGUUAGCUUCGCAAGCUACGAUCGCCUCAGCAGUGUCGUGCUCUGCAGACCAUAACCUUCAGGGCCCCUCCCCCUCCCAUGCUGCUCGCAUUGCAUUUGCGUACACUAAUAGCCGAUUCUCGCACAUCGCCGUGCUGCCUCUCUCUUGUGCCGCCGCUCUCACUCUCUCUCGGCCUUACACCUUGUGAGAUGUGUGCAUUCAUCAACGCCAGUACCUGCUCUGACUCCUUCAGAUACGGCCGUCUUUCCUCGCCGCCCGUGCCAUCUCCCCCUCCCCUUCCCCCACUUCUCGCCUUUUGCCUGCUCCCCCGUGUGGACAG
rnacentral:misc_RNA from 1 species